AGAACUCAUAAAAGUAACUCUUACAUUGGAUUAAAAAGUUGCAUCAGUUUUUACAUUAAACUUGCUUUCAAAAUAUUUAUAAAAAAAAAUCUAAAUAAAAAUCACUUCACUUUAAACUUAAUAGUAACCAAAUUGAUUUUACAAAAUGAACUCUACUCAAAAUUAUGUUUAUCAAAACUCAC